AUCAGCCUGACAGACGAAUGCAGAGACUCAGAAACAGGGAAUUCAUAGCCUGGAUGGCAAGUUUUGUAUGGAAUGAGCUGAAUUUAAGGCACUCUCAGACCUUUGUUCUCAUCCAUCUGGAAGCCAAGACUGCGGGGAAAGAAAAGGAAAAGCCUCUCUGUGAGCUGGGGAGCUUCAAAGCAAAUCGAGAACAGACAGCUCUGUUCUGGGGAAGAAACACUGAAACAGGAGCUGAGGUGCUUUGAUACCAGAGCAGAGUGCAGGACAGAGUGAUCCCAGCAUGGAGAAAGGGAGAACAUACCUCCUGCUCAGCUCCUCCUCCUGAGCUUCCCGGGGCAGCUCGGGCAGGGAUGCAGAGAGCUCCUCUCUGUCACUCUCAGGCAAGGGGAGGCUGGGCUGGGCUGGAGAUUCAACCACAGAAUGGAGUUUUAGUGAAACAGCAAAUCAGUUCUGGCAGCACGCUGAGUUAUUAUCCAAAACCACUGAAUUUAUUCUCUCAAACUAUAUACUUAAUCUUUCAAAUAAAUAUUUGAUCUUCUCAAUUCUAUGUUACAUCCAUAUCAUAAAUAUAUGACAGAUUUAAUUUCCUUUCAGCAAAAUGAAAACAUGAUGAAUUUGCAUUCCAGGGCUAAAUACAUGCCUACAUACGUAGGGAGGAAAACAAUGAAUCCAAAAUAUUGAAGUGACCAAAACAAGAGGUUACAAACAGCUGAAAAGGAUUAAUUUGAUGUUAAUCUUGUAAUUGUGUUUCAGAUUAUGACAGCUGUGGCUUCCUGAGUGUCUGGGACAAAGUUUGCAAGUGGCACCCACUGAAACGACUUUUUAAAACACUUUGAUCCUCAGCAUAAACAAAAUAUAGGUUAAAUGUACUUCAAGGUGUACUUCAAACCAAGGUUCUAACUCAGGAAUGCUUUCCUAAGUAAAGGUCUACCCAAAA